rnacentral:lncRNA from 1 species
AUUUUGUUAACUUUCUAACAGAAGUUAACGGAAUAGUGGACGGUAGAAGUGAUUUUGUCAACUUAAGAUAUACAAGUGAUACACUUGAAAAAUGUUCACACACGUUUGAUACGGGUGUCAUUAACAGUAUAUAGCUGAUAAUUUCCCUAAAAUCGAAGAAAAAAGUGAAAAUAAGGGUUGUUUCGUUUAAAUUUGUUUGAAGGAUAAGAUUGGAAAUCAACAUUUAAUUAAGGGUAAAAUAGAGAAUCAUGCUUACUGAUGGAGUGGAAAUUGAGUUUCUUGCUCAUGAUAGAGGAAAGUGAAUUCCUUGAAUAAUGGAAACUGGAGAUAGAACAGAAUUAGAUUUCUAAUGAAUUUUGCCAACUCAACGAAGGAAAGCCAGGCGGAAGUGGAAAUCCUCUCCUCUCCCGCCUCCUCGACCCCAACCGAACAUGUCCUUAGGUGAUGUUUGGUUGGGAGGAGAAAAUAGGGAAGAGAAAAAUAAUUUAAUUUCUACUUUUAUUUCUAUUGUUUGAUUGCACAAAUAUAUAAGAAUUUAAUUUCCAUUAGAAUUUAAUAUCCCUUAUAAUGUAGAAUUUGAAUUCCACACCAAAGAGUAAAGAAUUUAAAUUGCUCUUAUAUUGAAAACCCAAACUUCUAAAUUUGCCCUCCAAUAUUUUAA